AGCUGAGGGCUGCACAAAGACCUUCCUGGCCUGCCCCAGCAGAGCUGAGGACCCCUGGCCGUGGGCUUGGUAAGUGCCUGGGCAGGUCCCCAAGUGCCCUCCUGGGGUGCCGCUGGGGUCUGGUGGGGCUAGCCCCUGCUGGGGCAGUCCUUGGGAUGUGGCUGUGGCUGGGUCAGUCGGCAGGGCUGAAGCCCACUGUCUGGGUCUGGGCAGACUGGCCCCAAACUCCACACCCUCACCCCCCCAGAAGCUCUGCCAAGCCCCAGGAAAGGCACAGAUCCUCUGGCAGAGACAGUGGCAGACGAGAAGAGCCAGAGAGAAGUGGGGUGGGGGCACUUGGCAACCCCAGUAGCUGCUGCUGCCUGCUGACCCGGCCUCCAGCCCCUCCAGAGAGAAGUGUGGGUGCGACAGCCGCGGCCUCACUGAUGGGAGGCCGUGGCCGUGGGAGGAGGGGCCUAGAGUUGCCAAGGAAGUCGCAGAAAUGACCAACUGCUGGGGCCUGGAGGGCAAGAGGGAAAGCUUCUUGAAUGGCUUCUCAGACUUGAUCCAGCAGGGUCCCUUCUGCUGACCAGUCUCCAGCCCCUCCGGGUUCUGGGCUCCAUGGCGAGUGGCCUGGAGGAGGCACUACCUGACCCAGGAGGCCGCGUCUGGACAGGGCUGGCUGCAGGUGGAGUCUGGCCUGUGGCGCACACCGAGGGCCUCCCCCCGAUGCUGGGCUUUGGGCUACGUGAUCACAGCUGCCCUGCCCCUCCUCACAGCCAUGCUGGGUGUUAGCAGGGUCACCCGCAGGGACACCAAGGGGCCAAGCAGAGCAGCCCUCACUCACCUCACCAGGAGCCCCAGCCAGAAGGGAGGGUGGGCGCCUCUGGGAGGCAGGGCCUGCUAGGCCCUGGGGCUUCCUGUGCUGAGUCAGAGUAUGAGCGGGAGGCGCAGGAGCCCCCAGCGGGUGCAGAUGUGAGGCUGCCAGCUGGCACAGGUCCCCUCGGCCAGCCCCCAGUGCCCCUUUCUUCUGCCCCCAGGGCCCUGGCUUCACGGGAUGGGGUUGCAAGUGUCCUGGGCCCCUCCUGCCCUCUGGGUUCUAGGGUGCUGCGCCCUGCUCCUCUGGCUGUGGGCGCUCUGCACAGCCUGCCGCAGGCCUGAGGACGCUCUAGCCCCCAGGAAGCGGGCGCGGAGGCAGCGGGCGAAGCUGCAGGGCAGUGCGAUGCCAGCGGAAGCGCAAGUCGGACACCAGAUUGCACGAGCUGCACCGGGGCCCGCUCAGCUGCAGGGCCCUGCGGCCUGCCAGCGUGGAUCUCCUGCGCCCACACUGGCUGGAGGUGUCCAGGGACAUCAGCGGAUCGCAGGGAGCCCCCUCUGCCUUCCCACACCGGGAGCGGCCCUGGGCUCUGCCGGCAGCUGCAGCCAGCGCCGGGUGCGUUGGGCGCGAGGCUCUCUACUCCAACGUGGGGCUGGCGGCCCUCCCUGGGGUCAGCCUGGCGGCCAGCCCUGUGGUGGCUGAGUAUGCCCGCGUCCAGAAGCGAAAGGGGGCCCACCGCAGCCCCCAGGAGCCACAGCAGGGGAAGGCCCAGGUGACCCCCGCCGCUCAGGCGGACGUCCUGUACUCCAGGGUCUGCAAGCCCAAAAGCAGGGAGCCAGGACCCAACACAGACCCGCUGGACCCCAAGGGCCAGGGAGCGAUUCUGGCCCUGGCCAGUGACCCGGCCUACCAGAGCCCCCCGCUCAGGGCCCCGGACGUGGACAGCGGCCCCCUGGAAAACGUGUAUGAGAGCAUCCGGGAGCCGGGGGACCCCGCGGGCAGCAGCGGCACGUGUGGGGCUCGGACGCCCCCCGCUUCCAGCUGCCCCAGCCUAGGGAGCGGCUGGAGACCUCCCCUGCCCUGAACGCUCCAGGACACGUGCUCCCUCCUCCCGAGUGAGGCCGGGCCGCGCCCCGCCCGCAGCUGACAGCGCAAGUCCCAGGUCCCCCGGCUGCCGGCCCGUGCGGUCCGUGCCGUCCCGGCCGCUCCGACAGCCGCGGCCUCCCCGGGCUCCAGAGAAGGCCUGAGUCUAAAUAAACCGCCAUCGCGGGAUGAACGCG